rnacentral:lncRNA from 1 species
CUGGGAGACCCGAUGAGACAAGGACCGUGAACUGGCCACUAAUCUAGUCAAGACGUAGGUCACUGGCAUUCUUGGUAGGAGGUAUUACAAUAGAAUGGUGGAUCCGAGAACAGCGCAAGGAAGUUAAGAGUGUUUGCAGGGGAUUUCGCGUGCUGGAUUAUGAAAUCUCAGCUGGCUGAGAAGUGAAGACCUGAAGGGAGAUAAAUCCUGAAGAAACCGCAGAGCGAUGGCCUGGAAGUCUCUGUUUAGGAGCUGAGACCUCUUACCAACAGCCAGCACCAAGCUGCCAGGCAAGUGAGGGCGCCAUCUUGGAAGUGGAUCCUCCAGCCCCAGUCAAGCCUUCAGAUGAAUGCAGCCUCAGCUAAUAUCUUGACUAAAAUCUGGUAAGAGACCCUGAACCAGAGCUGUCAAGGUAAGUUACUCCUGAAUUUCUGACCCACAGAAACUGUGUGAGAUAAUAAAGGUUUAUUGUUGUUUGAAGCAGCUAAGUUUUGGGAUAAUUUAUGUUACACAGCAAUAGAAAACUAAUAUAUAAUGUUUGCUAUUAUUAUUUUCUUGGGUCAACACCGUGAGCAAAGAAG